rnacentral:rRNA from 1 species
AUGAACGCUGGCGGCGUGCCUAAUACAUGCACGUCGAGCGAACAGACGAGGAGCUUGCUCCUCUGACGUUAGCGGCGGACGGGUGAGUAACACGUGGAUAACCUACCUAUAAGACUGGGAUAACUUCGGGAAACCGGAGCUAAUACCGGAUAAUAUAUUGAGCCGCAUGGUUCAAUAGUGAAAGACGGUUUUGCUGUCACUUAUAGAUGGAUCCGCGCCGCAUUAGCUAGUUGGUAAGGUAACGGCUUACCAAGGCGACGAUGCGUAGCCGACCUGAGAGGGUGAUCGGCCACACUGGAACUGAGACACGGUCCAGACUCCUACGGGAGGCAGCAGUAGGGAAUCUUCCGCAAUGGGCGAAAGCUUGACGGAGCAACGCCGCGUGAGUGAUGAAGGUCUUCGGAUCGUAAAACUCUGUUAUUAGGGAAGAACAAAUGUGUAAGUAACUAUGCACGUCUUGACGGUACCUAAUCAGAAAGCCACGGCUAACUACGUG